CAGCCGCCACGGGAAUACGUAGGUGGCAAGCGUUGUCCGGAAUUAUUGGGCGUAAAGGGCUCGCAGGCGGUUUCUUAAGUCUGAUGUGAAAGCCCCCGGCUCAACCGGGAAGGGUCAUUGGAAACUGGGAAACUUGAGUGCAGAAGAGGAGAGUGGAAUUCCACGUGUAGCGGUGAAAUGCGUAGAGAUGUGGAGGAACACCAGUGGCGAAGGCGACUCUCUGGUCUGUAACUGACGCUGAGGAGCGAAAGCGUGGGGAGCGAACAGGAUUAGAUACCCCUGUAGUCCCUGUCUCUUAUAC
rnacentral:rRNA from 1 species